UGAAACAUCCUUUAGGGGAUGGGGCGGGGAUGGACCUGCGGUGCAUUAGUUAGUUGGCGGGGUAAAGGCCCACCAAGACGAUGAUGCAUAGCCGGCUUGAGAGGGCGGACGGCCACAUUGAGACUGAGACACGGCCCAGACUCCUGCGGGAGGCAGCAGUAGGGAAUUUUCGUCAAUGGGCGCAAGCCUGAACGAGCGAUGCCGCGUGAGUGAAGAAGGCCUUCGGGUCGUAAAGCUCUGUUGCGGGGGAAAAAAGGCAGCAUCAGGAAAUGGGUGCUGACUGAUGGUGCCCCGCCAGAAAGUCACGGCUAACUACGUGCCAGCAGCCGCGGUAAUACGUAGGUGGCGAGCGUUAUCCGGAAUGAUUGGGCGUAAAGGGUGCGCAGGCGGUCCUGCAAGUCUGGAGUGAAACGCAUGAGCUCAACUCAUGCAUGGCUUUGGAAACUGGAGGACUGGAGAGCAGGAGAGGGCGGUGGAACUCCAUGUGUAGCGGUAAAAUGCGUAGAUAUAUGGAAGAACACCAGUGGCGAAGGCGGCCGCCUGGCCUGUUGCUGACGCUGAGGCACGAAAGCGUGGGGAGCAAAUAGGAUUAGAUACCCUAGUAGUCCACGCCGUAAACGAUGAGGACCAAGUGUUGGGG
rnacentral:rRNA from 1 species